AACGCGAAGAACCUUACCUACACUUGACAUGUCUGGAAUCCUGAAGAGAUUUGGGAGUGCCCGAAAGGGAAUCAGAACACAGGUGCUGCAUGGCUGUCGUCAGCUCGUGUCGUGAGAUGUUGGGUUAAGUCCCGCAACGAGCGCAACCCUUGUCAUUAGUUGCUACGCAAGAGCACUCUAAUGAGACUGCCAGUGACAAACCGGAGGAAGGUGGGGAUGACGUCAAGUCCUCAUGGCCCUUAUGUGUAGGGCUUCACACGUCAUACAAUGGUCGGUACAGAGGGUUGCCAACCCGUGAGGGGGCGCUAAUCCCAGAAAGCCGAUCGUAGUCCGGAUCGCAGUCUGCAACUCGACUGCGUGAAGUCGGAAUCGCUAGUAAUCGCGGAUCAGCAUGUCGCGGUGAAUACGUUCCCGGGUCUUGUACACACCG
rnacentral:rRNA from 1 species